AUGAACGCUGGCGGCGUGCCUAAUCCCUGCCAGUCGAGCGAACGGACGAGAAGCUUGCUUCUCUGAUGUUAGCGGCGGACGGGCGAGUAACCCGUGGAUAACCUACCUAUAAGACUGGGAUAACUUCGGGAAACCGGAGCUAAUCCCGGAUAAUAUUUUGAACCGCAUGGUUCAAAAGUGAAAGACGGUCUUGCUGUCACUUAUAGAUGGAUCCGCGCUGCAUUAGCUAGUUGGUAAGGUAACGGCUUACCAAGGCAACGAUGCAUAGCCGACCUGAGAGGGUGAUCGGCCACACUGGAACUGAGACACGGUCCAGACUCCUACGGGAGGCAGCAGUAUGGAAUCUUCCGCAAUGGGCGAAAGCCUGACGGAGCAACGCCGCGUGAGUGAUGAAGGUCUUCGGAUCGUAAAACUCUGUUAUUAGGGAAGAACAUAUGUGUAAGUAACUGUGCACAUCUUGACGGUACCUAAUCAGAAAGCCACGGCUAACUACGUG
rnacentral:rRNA from 1 species